UUCAUCUUUCAAAACUCUUGAGGUUAGGUUGUGAUCGGUAUCGUAAUAUAUUUGUAGAAAUGUGUUUCUUAGAGAUAAAUGAAAUGAAAUAUAAAUUAAUCUGAGAAAAUUAGCUACAAAAUAUCCAUGUGGAUUCAUAACAGACCCACAAAAACAAGUAGAAAUCAAGAUGGAAAUCGAUGAAACUGAACGUGUUGGCGAAAACGGCGAUAUUUUCAUUCACCGCUUGAAAGUACUCACUGACGAAGAAAAACAGCGAUUGGAAGCGCAGAAUUCACGAAUUAUACCAGAAGCCAAAGCUGUACGUUUAGAGAAAGAAGCGAAGCGUCAUUGGGACAUAUUCUACAAGAGAAAUGAAACCAAAUUCUUCAAGGACCGGCAUUGGACCACACGUGAGUUUCAAGAGCUUAUAAACUUCGAGCCGGAUGAUAAGAUCACGUUUCUAGAACUAGGAUGUGGCGUGGGCAAUAUGAUAUUUCCGCUGGUCGAGGAAGGUUUCUCCAAUUUCCAUUUCUAUGCAUGUGACUUCUCGCCACGUGCGGUGGAGUUUGUAAAGGCCAACAAAUUGUUUGACGAGAGCCGGAUGAAAGCUUUUUGCGCCGAUCUUACUACUGAUGAUUUAUUUGAGAACAUGGAAGAAGGCUGCGUGGAUAUAGCUAGUCUGAUAUUCGUGUUAUCUGCAAUCCACCCGGACUCGUGGUCGCAAGUAGCCAAGGUCGCGUACCGGGCGCUUCGUCCCGGGGGCGUAUUGUUGUUUCGCGACUAUGGGCGAUAUGAUAUGGCACAGCUAAGAUUCAAGCCAGGACACAAGAUCGCUGAGAAUUUCUACAUGAGGCAAGAUGGGACCAGAAGCUACUACUUCACGGAGGAAGAGCUACAGAAGGUAUUCACUGAAGCUGGGUUUGAGAUCCUCAUGAACACAUAUGUACAACGCCGGACCGUCAACUUCAAAGAGGGAAUUGAUGUGCCUCGCAUUUUUGUGCAGGGAAAAUAUAGGAAACCCGUUAAAGGUUGAAAGAAUGUCUGCCAUCAGGAAACUGCAAUGGAAAUACAUGUGAUAUGGUCAGUGAGCACAGAGGUUGUGUCGAAAUCAUGAAUGCACUGGUUAUUCAGGACAACAGCAAGACUCCUGGUUCCAUGUGGCUUGAUGCAAAAGCUUGAUUAUCUGAGAAACAUCAACUGCUGGGUCAGUGCGAGUCAUAAGAAAAGCAAGGAGAAACAAGUAGUUUUUGGAUUAACUAUAAUGGUUACGAAUUGGAAGACACUGCUAAUAAGGUAAGAAUUAAAAUACAAUAUUUUCAAAAUUAUUAACAAUUGUAAAAACUCAAAUGAUGAUUUCAGAUAGGGACAUCUGAUUAUAAUGCUGUUAACAUAACUAUCCUCACUGAUAAAACAUUAAAAUAUAUUCAAUUUUUACAACAUUUGUCUUUUUUUCACAAAGUUAUUUCUCUUGUUACAGAUAUCCUGUACACCAACGGAUUCUCCCUAAAUAUAGCUGUAUUGAAUGAAUGCAGAUUACAAUGGAAUUACAAAUAUGAAAUUUGAAUUUUUGUGGAUUAAGUGAGAACUAAGAAGUUAAGAAAAGAAGGAGAAUUGAAAAGAGAAAAUCAUCCAAGAAAGAGGAGCUGGAUCAGUGGUGUCAUGCAAGCAAUGGAAAAGAAGCCUAGGAAUAAAAAGUAUAUCUCCAGAGUUAGUGCUGCUUAUGUUAUUAGAAAAGCUUGAAAGAAGUGGCUACUUAAAUAGCUGGUUUAUUUCGCGAGUUCCAGUGGAAAGCGACGCAUUGAAGAAACACUUAAAUG